CUCCUGCAGAGCUCGGCUGUCCAGGGCUGUGCUGGUUUGGCUGUGCAACCCCUGUGAACCACCUCCACCUUCUGCAGGUCCUGGGGGGCUCUGAAGACCUGCCCUGCAUGGGGUUCUCUUUGGCCACCAUCAGAUGAGAAUGUGCUCCCAGCCCAUCCCUCGCAUCCAAGUCACUCCGUGAACCCAGGCUCUUUUCUGGAUGAGAUUUUAAGCACAGCAGGGCUUGGUGGGCUUCAAGCUUCCCAACAGCAGCAGAGCCCAAGCUAACUGCACCAAGAACUGCUCCUCCUCCUCUUCCUCCUCCACGUGCUCUUUCAUGGUCAGGCUACAGCGGCUUCCUGGAGUUGCACACAGCUCCUCACCAGCCGUUAGGAAGGAGCUGCUGGUUUCAGGCGAGGGGCACCUCGGAGAGGCUCCCCUUGCGUGAGUCCUUCUGCUUGGGUGCCUCUGGUGGCCUUCAGGGAGGAGGAGAGCACGCAGGAAAGCAUCCGCUGAUGGAAAAUGACACAUCUGGAGAGGAAAGAGGCCGUGGUGAGGCACCUACAGGCAAAGCUCCAAGGGAACAGGAGAGACCCUCCCAUAGUGGGUGGCUGCCCCGAGAGCCAGUCUGCAGCGUCCCUUGCAACAGAGCCAGGCCAGACCCCCCUGCCAGAGGCCCCCUGGAGCAGGAGGGUGGACUUCAGCAGGGCUUCUCCAUCACACAGUAAAGGUGUGGGACCGUGUUCACCUCCUCAUUCCAGCACCGAGCCCCCGGGGUGGGUGGUGCAGCUGAAGAAGGGCACUGCUCAAGGUGGCAGCUUCCACCCAGCCCCUGCCAAGCCAGGAGGAGGAGAUGUGUUGAGCAAGGAGGUGGGAGGCACGUCUGAUCCUCCCCGGAGAAGCUCAGCCCAGCAGGCACGGCCGCUCGCCAAAGAAGGGGGUGCUCCAGCAGUUCCUGUGCAGCCUGGGCACCCAGCUCAGCCUUGGAGGAAGCCUUUGCCACACAUCAAGGCACUGGGAGCAAGGCCAGCCAAGCCCAGGCGUCCUCCUGUUGUGGAUCUGGAGAAGUUUGGUGCAUCUGCACAUCGUGGGAUGCCCAUCCGUCUGGCCACGGAGGCACCAAGGGGUGCUCAGCUGGGCCACCCCAAACCAGGCUAUGCCACAUCAGCCCCAGCACGGUUCCCAACACAGGAUGCUUCAAGUGUAACAGGGGGUGAAGAUGAGAUAUAUGAUGAUGUAGAGCCUGCUGGGCUCAUCAGGAGAGCCCAAGGCUUUCUACUGUCCCCCACGUGCCAGCCGCCAGCAAAUCCCUGCCCCAGAGGAGGGUUUGCUUUUACAGGUGAAGAUGCUGGUCGAGCCUCUAAGGGGUUUGCCUUGCUGGCAGCUGCACAGAGAGAAGCCCAGGUCCCCCGGAAGAUGAAGCCAAUGACACUCAAGGAAUGCAAGAAGGAAGAGAAGGCAGACAGGGAGUUUCAGAAGAAAUUCAAGUUUGAAGGAAGCAUCAGUGUCCUGACUCAGAUGAUGGUCGACCCCGCGGUGACAGAGAAAAGGGGUGGAGGGAAGAACCUGCCACUGAGACGAGGAGAAAUUCUUGAUGUUAUUCAGUUUACAAACCAGGAGCAAAUCCUCUGCAGAAACAGCCAGAGGAGGUCAGGUUCCUCCCAGGGGUCCAGCUUCCAAGAGCCAAGCUCUUCCUUGUCCCAGGCUCUCCCAUGGGAUGCAAGACGUUGCUAAACUCUGUCCUGUGCAGGGGCAGGUCCUGGGGUGCGUCCCCACUCAUGCCCCAACUCCUGGCACAACCUGAAGUGCUUUUCCUCACUGUUGCAGAUGGCUAUGUGCCCCGGACCGUGAUGCUACACCUGGACACUGACAUCUAUGACGAUGUCGAGAUUUACGGGUGAGGAUCCAUGGCUAAAACCAAAGGUACAAGACACCACCGACAGAGACCUCCCCAAGGGUCAAAAUGUGAUCCAGGUCACACCUUCUCUGUGGCUUUGUUUUGUCUGUGUAAAAUAUGGCAACAGUA